AUUGAACGCUGGCGGCAUGCCUUACACAUGCAAGUCGAACGGCAGCGCGGGAGCAAUCCUGGCGGCGAGUGGCGAACGGGUGAGUAAUAUAUCGGAACGUGCCCUGGAGUGGGGGAUAACGCAGCGAAAGUUGCGCUAAUACCGCAUACGAUCUACGGAUGAAAGUGGGGGAUCGCAAGACCUCAUGCUCGUGGAGCGGCCGAUAUCUGAUUAGCUAGUUGGUGGGGUAAAAGCCUACCAAGGCGACGAUCAGUAGCUGGUCUGAGAGGACGACCAGCCACACUGGGACUGAGACACGGCCCAGACUCCUACGGGUGGCAG
rnacentral:rRNA from 1 species